rnacentral:miRNA from 1 species
ACUGUGAUCUCACCCGCAAGU